GAACCCAAGUUUGUGGUCAGUUAUCUUCACAACCUCAAAUCAUCAAAGGAGUCAUUGCGUGAACAGUUGGAAAGAGCAAAGAAAAAGGAGUCUGCAUUUAUUGUGACAAUUGCCAAAAGAGAGCAGGAGAUAGUAGAGUUGAAGUCUGCAGUUCGGGACCUUAGAGUUC